ACACUCCUGCGGGAGGCAGCAGUGGGGAAUAUUGCACAAUGGGCGCAAGCCUGAUGCAGCCAUGCCGCGUGUAUGAAGAAGGCCUUCGGGUUGUAAAGUACUUUCAGCGGGGAGGAAGGCGAUAAGGUUAAUAACCUUGUCGAUUGACGUUACCCGCAGAAGAAGCACCGGCUAACUCCGUGCCAGCAGCCGCGGUAAUACGGAGGGUGCAAGCGUUAAUCGGAAUUACUGGGCGUAAAGCGCACGCAGGCGGUCUGUCAAGUCGGAUGUGAAAUCCCCGGGCUCAACCUGGGAACUGCAUUCGAAACUGGCAGGCUAGAGUCUUGUAGAGGGGGGUAGAAUUCCAGGUGUAGCGGUGAAAUGCGUAGAGAUCUGGAGGAAUACCGGUGGCGAAGGCGGCCCCCUGGACAAAGACUGACGCUCAGGUGCGAAAGCGUGGGGAGCAAACAGUAUUAGAAACCCGAGUAGUCCCAUG
rnacentral:rRNA from 1 species